GAUGAACGCUGACAGAAUGCUUAACACAUGCAAGUCUUUGGCGAAGCUGUGCUUGCACAGCCUAGCCAAGGCGGACGGGUGAGUAACGCGUAAGGAACUUGCCCUGCAGUCAGGGAUAACAGACGGAAACGACUGAUAAGACCUGGUAAAGUCAGGCGGACUCAUGUCCAGCCUGAUGAAAAGAGAUGCUGCAGGAGAGCCUUGCGUCCUAUUAGCUUGUUGGUGGGGUAACGGCCCACCAAGGCGAUGAUAGGUAGCCGCCCUGAGAGGGUGGACGGCCACAAGGGGACUGAGAUACGGCCCUUACUCCUACGGGAGGCAGCAGUGGGGAAUAUUGGACAAUGGGGGCAACCCUGAUCCAGCAAUUCUGUGUGCACGAUGAAGGUUUUCGGAUUGUAAAGUGCUUUCAGCAGGGAAGAAAAAAAUGACGGUACCUGCAGAAGAAGCGACGGCUAAAUACGUG
rnacentral:rRNA from 1 species